UAUAUAUGUUACAGUAAAUAGGUGAAAUUAGGAAUUACAUGUAAUUACUAAAAUUUAGGAAUAACAGGUAAUUCCCGGUGCACUUAGUAAAUACAAGUAAUUCCUGAAACGGCCCAGUUAUUACCAGUAAUUACUAAUUUUAAAAUGAGUUUUUACACCUAUUUACUGACUGCUAAAACAAUGUUGUAUUAUGGUCAGAUGAUCAACAGUUAUGGUAAUACUAACUAGAAGAUCAGUUAGUACUCUUAAAAUAUUGAAUGGUUGAUUUGUAUUCAAAAUAUCUUGAAUAAAUAUGGACUUUCAAGUAUUUGGUUAAAUCAGAAUAAC
rnacentral:lncRNA from 1 species